rnacentral:rRNA from 1 species
AACGAACGCUGGCGGCAGGCCUAACACAUGCAAGUCGAACGCCCCGCAAGGGGAGUGGCAGACGGGUGAGUAACACGUGGGAACCUUCCCUAUAGUACGGAAUAGCCCAGGGAAACUUGGAGUAAUACCGUAUACGCCCGAAAGGGGAAAGAAUUUCGCUAUAGGAUGGGCCCGCGUAGGAUUAGCUAGUUGGUGAGGUAAUGGCUCACCAAGGCGACGAUCCUUAGCUGGUUUGAGAGAACGACCAGCCACACUGGGACUGAGACACGGCCCAGACUCCUACGGGAAGCAGCAGUGGGGAAUAUUGGACAAUGGGCGCAAGCCUGAUCCGGCCAUGCCGCGUGAGUGAUGAAGGCCUUAGGGUUGUAAAGCUCUUUUGGCGGGGACGAUAAUGACGGUACCCGCAGAAUAAGUCCCGGCUAACUUCGUG